AACGAACGCUGGCGGCAUGCCUAACACAUGCAAGUCGAACGAGACCUUCGGGUCUAGUUGCGCACGGGUGCGUAACGCGUGGGAACCUGCCCUUAGGUUCGGAAUAACUCCCCGAAAGGGGUGCUAAUACCGGAUAAUGUCUUCGGACCAAAGAUUUAUCGCCUUUGGAUGGGCCCGCGUUGGAUUCGCUAGUUGGUAGGGUAAAAGCCUACCAAGGCGACGAUCCAUGGCUGGUCUGAGAGGAUGAUCAGCCACACUGGGACUGAGACACGGCCCAGACUCGUACGGGAGGCAGCAGUGGGGAAUAUUGGACGAGGGACGAAAGCCUGGUCCAGCAAUGCCGCGUGAGUGAUGAAGGCCUUAGGGUUGUAAAGCUCUUUUACCCGGGAUGUUAAUGACAGUACCGGGAGAAGAAGCUCCGGCUAACUCCGUG
rnacentral:rRNA from 1 species